AACGGAAGGGCCCUGCUUGCAGGGUACUCGAGUGGCGAACGGGUGAGUAACACGUGGGUGAUCUGCCCUGCACUUCGGGAUAAGCUUGGGAAACUGGGUCUAAUACCGGAUAGGAGCUCCUGCUGCAUGGUGGGGGUUGGAAAGUUUCGGCGGUUGGGGAUGGACUCGCGGCUUAUCAGCUUGUUGGUGGGGUAGUGGCUUACCAAGGCUUUGACGGGUAGCCGGCCUGAGAGGGUGACCGGCCACAUUGGGACUGAGAUACGGCCCAGACUCCUACGGGAGGCAGCAGUGGGGAAUAUUGCACAAUGGGCGGAAGCCUGAUGCAGCAACGCCGCGUGCGGGAUGACGGCCUUCGGGUUGUAAACCGCUUUCGCCUGUGACGAAGCGUGAGUGACGGUAAUGGGUAAAGAAGCACCGGCUAACUACGUGCCAGCAGCCGCGGUGAUACGUAGGGUGCGAGCGUUGUUCGGAUUUAUUGGGCGUAAAGGGCUCGUAGGUGGUUGAUCGCGUCGGAAGUGUAAUCUUGGGGCUUAACCCUGAGCGUGCUUUCGAUACGGGUUGACUUGAGGAAGGUAGGGGAGAAUGGAAUUCCUGGUGGAGCGGUGGAAUGCGCAGAUAUCAGGAGGAACACCAGUGGCGAAGGCGGUUCUCUGGGCCUUUCCUGACGCUGAGGAGCGAAAGCGUGGGGAGCGAACAGGCUUAGAUACCCUGGU
rnacentral:rRNA from 1 species